GACGAACGCUGGCGGCGUGCUUAACACAUGCAAGUCGAACGCUGAAGACCUGGCUUUUGUUGGGUUGGAUGAGUGGCGAACGGGUGAGUAACACGUGAGUAACCUGCCCUCUUCUUUGGGAUAACGCCCGGAAACGGGUGCUAAUACUGGAUAUUCACUGGCCUUCGCAUGGGGGUUGGUGGAAAGGUUUGUUCUGGUGGGGGAUGGGCUCGCGGCCUAUCCGCUUGUUGGUGGGGUGAUGGCCUACCAAGGCUUUGACGGGUAGCCGGCCUGAGAGGGUGACCGGUCACAUUGGGACUGAGAUACGGCCCAGACGCCUACGGGAGGCAGCAGUGGGGAAUAUUGCACAAUGGGCGAAAGCCUGAUGCAGCGACGCCGCGUGAGGGAUGGAGGCCUUCGGGUUGUAAACCUCUUUCGCUCAUGGUCAAGCCGCAACUGUGGGUUGUGGUGAGGGUAGUGGGUAAAGAAGCGCCGGCUAACUACGUG
rnacentral:rRNA from 1 species